GUAGCUUUAGCAGCACAUAUACUAAAAUUGGAAAGAUACGGAGAAGAUGAGCAUGGCCCCUGCACAAGGAUGACACAUAAAUUUGUGAAGCAUUCCAUAUAUUU
ensembl:snRNA U6 U6 spliceosomal RNA